rnacentral:rRNA from 1 species
GUGGGGAAUAUUGGACAAUGGGCGAAAGCCUGAUCCAGCCAUGCCGCGUGUGUGAAGAAGGUCUUCGGAUUGUAAAGCACUUUAAGUUGGGAGGAAGGGCAGUAAGUUAAUACCUUGCUGUUUUGACGUUACCGACAGAAUAAGCACCGGCUAACUUCGUGCCAGCAGCCGCGGUAAUACGAAGGGUGCAAGCGUUAAUCGGAAUUACUGGGCGUAAAGCGCGCGUAGGUGGUUUUGUAAUUUGGAGGUGAAAUCCCCGGGCUCAACCUGGGAACUGCCUCCAAAACUGCAUGACUAGAGUACGGUAGAGGGUAGUGGAAUUUCCUGUGUAGCGGUGAAAUGCGUAGAUAUAGGAAGGAACACCAGUGGCGAAGGCGACUACCUGGACUGAUACUGACACUGAGGUGCGAAAGCGUGGGGAGCAAACAGGAUUAGAAACCCCUGUAGUCC